AGAGUUUGAUUCUGGCUCAGGACGAACGCUGGCGGCAUGCCUAACACAUGCAAGUCGAACGGAGUUAAGCGCUGAUGAAGCUUCGGUGGAAUCUUGCUUAACUUAGUGGCGGACGGGCGAGUAACGCGUGAGCAACCUGCCCUUCAGUGGGGGACAACGGCUGGAAACGGCCGCUAAUACCGCAUAACGCAGCGGGGCCGCAUGGCUCUGCUGCCAAAGGAUUUAUUCGCUGAAGGAUGGGCUCGCGUCCGAUUAGCUAGUUGGUGGGGUAACGGCCCACCAAGGCGACGAUCGGUAGCCGAACUGAGAGGUUGAUCGGCCGCAUUGGGACUGAGACACGGCCCAG
rnacentral:rRNA from 1 species